AGUCAGGCCCUGAACAACGGGGCACCGUGAACCCCGUCAGGCCCGGAAGGGAGCAGCGGUAGCGGUUACCCCCGUGUGUCUCAGGCCAACCUGGCUGCC
rnacentral:SRP_RNA from 1 species